rnacentral:rRNA from 1 species
UACGGGGGGUGCGAGCGUUGUCCGGAAUCACUGGGCGUAAAGGGCGCGUAGGUGGUCUGAUAAGGGUGUGGUGAAAGUCCGGGGCUCAACCCCGGAUCUGCCGUGCCGACUGUGAGACUCGAGGACUGUAGAGGCAGGCGGAAUUCCGGGUGUAGCGGUGGAAUGCGUAGAGAUCCGGAGGAAGACCGGUGGCGAAGGCGGCCUGCUGGGCAGUUUCUGACACUGAGGCGCGACAGCGUGGGGAGCAAACAGG